UACGGGGGGGAUAAGCGUUGUUCGGAAUUACUGGGCGUAAAGGGCUCGUAGGCAGCCAACUAAGUCGGACGUGAAAUCCCUCAGCUUAACUGGGGAACUGCGUCCGAUACUGGAUGGCUUGGAUUUGGGAGAGGGAUGCGGAAUUCCAGGUGUAGCAGUGAAAUGCGUAGAUAUCUGGAGGAGCACCGGUGGCGAAGGCGGCAUCCUGGACCAAUAUUGACGCUGAGGAGCGAAAGCCAGGGGAGCAAACGGG
rnacentral:rRNA from 1 species